rnacentral:rRNA from 1 species
UAGGGAAUAUUGGACAAUGGAGGAAACUCUGAUCCAGCCAUGCCGCGUGAUAGAUGAAGGCCCUCUGGGUUGUAAAUAUCUUUUAUCUGGGAAGAAACACUCCUAUUCUUAGGAACUUGACGGUACCAGAGGAAUAAGCACCGGCUAACUCCGUGCCAGCAGCCGCGGUAAUACGGAGGGUGCAAGCGUUAUCCGGAUUCACUGGGUUUAAAGGGUGCGUAGGCGGGCUGAUAAGUCAGUGGUGAAAGCU